CCCCUACCUUUAGUUGCCAUCAGGUUAAGCUGGGGACUCUAAAGGAACUGCCUACGCAAGUAGUGAGGAAGCGGGGAUGACGUCAAAUCAGCACGGCCCUUACGUCCAGGGCUACACACGUGCUACAAUGGCCGAUACAGAGGGCAGCUACCUGGUGACAGGAUGCAAAUCUCCAAAGUCGGUCUCAGUUCGGAUCGGAGUCUGCAACCCGACUCCGUGAAGUUGGAUUCGCUAGUAAUCGCGCAUCAGCCAUGGCGCGGUGAAUACGUUCCCGGGCCUU
rnacentral:rRNA from 1 species